GAGGGUGUAGGUCAGUGGUAGAGCGCGUGCUUAGCGUGCACGAGGUCCUGGGUUCCAUCCCCAGCACCUCCA
rnacentral:tRNA from 1 species